rnacentral:RNase_P_RNA from 1 species
GGCAGAGGGAGGUCGGUUUCCGUGUCCCAGACCGUGAGUAAGGGACAUGAGGAAAGUCCCCCCACCGUCAGGGCAGGUGACCGGGUGCAAGCCCGGGGUGGGAGACCGCCGGCUCUGGAACAGAAACGAGACCCCUCGCCCCGACCCAUGAGGUGUGCGAACCCCGCGCGAGAACGGCCACAGUGCCGGGAAGCAACGGGGAGUUAACCCACCGAGGGCGCGUGUCGACGCGUUCGCGCACGCGGCAGCAGCCGCGGGCAAACGGGCGAGAACGGAUGGAACGGCGAACCCUCACCGGUGCAAGUCCGAACCACAAGGUAGCCCUGACAGCGGUUCGGACGCUGAGCUGAAUGUCGACCGAACAGAAGGGGGCUUACUCCCCUCAGCC